rfam:Dipodomys ordii contig_42409, whole genome shotgun sequence.
GUGACUGUGUCUUAGUGGUAGAGUGCUUGCCUAACAUGCAAGAAGCUCUGGGUUUGAUUCCUCAGUACCCAUA